UUUCCGUAGGUGAACCUGCGGAAGGAUCAUUAUCGUACAAAAUGUGAGGGGCAUUCUAGUGCUGUCGCUGACCCAAAAGUCGUGCACGCCCGAGUGUGUCCUCUUGCAUAAGAAUCCAUCUCACCCUUUGUGCAUCACCGCGUGGGCACCCUUCGGGAUCAUCUCGGAGGCGGCCUCUCGUUUUAACACAAACCCCCCUUUUAAAAGUGUAGAAUGACCACAUUUAUGCAAUCAAUACAACUUUCAACAACGGAUCUCUUGGCUCUC
rnacentral:misc_RNA from 1 species